rnacentral:rRNA from 1 species
UACGUAGGGGGCUAGCGUUGUCCGGAAUCAUUGGGCGUAAAGCGCGUGUAGGCGGUCCGGUAAGUCCGCCGUGAAAGUCGGGGGCUCAACCCUCGAAUGCCGGUGGAUACUGUCGGGCUAGAGUGCGGAAGAGGCGAGUGGAAUUCCUGGUGUAGCGGUGAAAUGCGCAGAUAUCAGGAGGAACACCAAUUGCGAAGGCAGCUCGCUGGGACGUAACUGACGCUGAGACGCGAAAGCGUGGGGAGCAAACAGG